GAUGAACGCUGGCGGCGUGCCUAAUACAUGCCAGUCGAGCGAACAGACGAGGAGCUUGCUCCUCUGACGUUAGCGGCGGACGGGUGAGUAACACGUGGAUAACCUACCUAUAAGACUGGGAUAACUUCGGGAAACCGGAGCUAAUACCGGAUAACAUGUUGAACCGCAUGGUUCAACAGUGAAGGACGGUCUUGCUGUCACUUAUAGAUGGAUCCGCGCCGCAUUAGCUAGUUGGUAAGGUAACGGCUUACCAAGGCAACGAUGCGUAGCCGACCUGAGAGGGUGAUCGGCCACACUGGAACUGAGACACGGUCCAGACUCCUACGGGAGGCAGCAGUAGGGAAUCUUCCGCAAUGGGCGAAAGCCUGACGGAGCAACGCCGCGUGAGUGAAGAAGGUCUUCGGAUCGUAAAACUCUGUUAUUAGGGAAGAACAAAUGUGUAAGUAACUAUGCACGUCUUGACGGUACCUAAUCAGAAAGCCACGGCUAACUACGUG
rnacentral:rRNA from 1 species